GCGUAGUGUAGUGGUUAGCACGCUCGACUAACAAUCGAGAGGCCCGGGUUCGAGUCCUGGAAUGCAGCG
rnacentral:tRNA from 1 species